UACAGGGGGGGCAAGCGUUGUUCGGAAUUACUGGGCGUAAAGGGCUCGUAGGUGGCCAACUAAGUCAGACGUGAAAUUCCUCAGCUUAACUGGGGAACUGCGUCUGAUACUGGAUGGCUUGAGUUUGGGAGAGGGAUGCGGAAUUCCAGGUGUAGCGGUGAAAUGCGUAGAUAUCUGGAGGAACACCGGUGGCGAAGGCGGCAUCCUGGACCAACACUGACACUGAGGAGCGAAAGCCAGGGGAGCAAACGGG
rnacentral:rRNA from 1 species